AGCGAACGCUGGCGGCAUGCCUAACACAUGCAAGUCGAGCGCUCCCAGCAAUGGGGGAGCGGCGGACGGGUGAGUAACGCGUAGGAACGUAUCCUGAGGUGGGGGAUAACCCUGGGAAACUAGGGCUAAUACCGCAUGAUGGCGAGAGCCCAAAGAUUUAUCGCCUUGGGAGCGGCCUGCGUCUGAUUAGCUUGUUGGUGGGGUAACGGCCUACCAAGGCGAUGAUCAGUAGCUGGUCUGAGAGGAUGAUCAGCCACACUGGGACUGAGACACGGCCCAGACUCCUACGGGAGGCAGCAGUGGGGAAUAUUGGACAAUGGGCGAAAGCCUGAUCCAGCAAUGCCGCGUGGAUGAAGAAGGUCUUCGGAUUGUAAAGUCCUUUCGGCGGGGACGAUGAUGACGGUACCGCAGAAGAAGCCCCGGCUAACUUCGUG
rnacentral:rRNA from 1 species